rnacentral:sRNA from 1 species
UCAUAUUGCACAAUGAGAAGGAUGAGAAGCUUCGACCGAAGGUUCGAGUCGAACGCAGUGAGACAACGCGCUUCAGCGCGGCCCGCAAGGCGAGACGCUUUGCGUCGAGUCAUCCUUCUCCCGCCACCA